GCCGCGUUUAAGGUACCGGGACUUACAGUUCCGAGACAGGGACUGCUCAGGCGCGUUCCGGGACCCGGCGGAGGAAGGGAAGGCCUGGCUGUCCAGCGGAAUCCGCCUGGACGCACGGAACUCGCGGACCCGACCGGAGCAGCUCUUCGGGCCCUGGCGUGAACCCUUCUCCCAGAGGCACAUGCCCAGAACCCAGCAAUGGCCAAUGGGACCUUGAUGGCCGAGGGCCAGCUUUUCUAAACCCUACCUGGAUAAGGAUAAGAAAUAGAAGGAGGGGACACUUUAGGAUGCUACAAAAUAAAAUACAACAACAACAACAAUAACAGCAGCAGCAACAACAACAACAGCAACAAAAGGGGAAGAAACAAAUCUGGCCACUGCACAUUCCUCCUUGCCAACAAAAAGCCGUGGAUGCAAAAAGCUGCCCUUCACUGCAUAGACAGAACAGGGCGCGCUCGAGCUAUGAAUCUCGGAAAUUACUCAAACCAUCAGCCUCUGCAAGAAGCAAAGUGGACGGCCGGGCACGGUGGCUCACUCCUGGAAUCCCAGCACUUUGGGAGCCCGAGGUGGGCGGAUCACAAGGUCAGGAGAUCGAGACUGUUCUGGCUAAACCAGUGAAACCCCCUCUCUACUAAAAAAAUAAGAAAAGCGAAGUGCAUCUCCCAUAAACGAGGUACUGCAGGAAGAAAGCAGAAAAUGAGACCCGAGUACACACAUGCACGCGGGCGCGCGCACACACACACCAGAAGAAAUGAACCAAGAGGAAAGGAAACAUUUCCAAAUAAGCAUUUGGAGAUGGGAAAAACACCUUGAAACAGAAAUUCAUAAAGUACAGAAUUUUUUUUUAAGUUAAAAAACGAACAAUAAUAGACAGAAAAUGAAUGAAAAAUUAAAUGUCAUAUCAGAAGUGAAGAUAAAUUAAAAGUGGUCAAAGGAGAAGAGAUCUAAAUGCAAACUUAAGAAGGGGCAAUUUUUUUUUUUUUUUUUUUUUUUUUGAGACGCAGCCUCACUGUGUCGCCCGGGCUGGAGUGCAGUGGCGUGAUCUUGGCUCACUGAAACCUCUGCCUCCUGGAUUCAAGCGAUUCUCCUGCCUCAGCCUCCCAAGUGGCUGGGAUUACAGGCGUGUGCCACCACACCCAGCUAAUUUUUGUAUUUUUAGUAGAGACAGGGUUUCACCAUGUUGGCCAGGCUGGUCUCGAACUGCUGACCUCGUGAUCUACCUGCCUCGGCCUCCCAAAGUCCUGGGAUUACAGGUGUGGGCCACUGCGCCAGCCUUGUUUCUCGACUUCUGCUGGCAAGCAUGUUCCAGUAUUUGCAUGGCUCCUAGCCCUCAUCUCCAUUUCUCUGCACAGAUGUUACCUUCCCCAUGAGGUCUGCCUUAUACAUGAGGCCUGUAUUAUAAACUGCAACUCCGCAUUCCCCAACCCCGUUGUUUCUUCUCCCCAGAACACUAG
rnacentral:lncRNA from 10 species